UUAAAACACCAAAAAAAUCAAAUCAAACCAAAAGCAACAAAUAGAGCAUUGACAAGUCAAAAUGAUUUAUAACUUUUUUAUUUUAUAAAAUGAGUGUUUGUAAAUGAGUAAAUGCACAAUACAUACAAUUUGACACGGAUGGAUCUAUACCUGUUAGAAUGUAUAAAGUAUUAUGACCAUGAUUUAUAACAGAAAGGAGGGUCACUUCAUAGCCCUUAAAAAGAAAAAUAGACCUCUUGAUAAAGGAGUAGGUCAGGUAAGGGCCGAUUUUGGCCUCAAAUUACAGGUUCUCUAACGAAAGUUUUUGUACACUUUUUAAACACUUAAGUGUCUAUUUCAAUUGAUUCGAUUAGUUUAUGUGAAAGAUUUUAGCUGAUUUAGUCAUUAAAAACGCUCUGAUUCAAGCUUAAAUAUGAAAAAUCUAUCAAAUAUGCCAAAAAACGUCACUUUUCAGAUGGUUUUUGUCAAAAAUGAAAGUGGCCGCAUCCUUGUUCAUCCUCAACCUUUAUAUAUGUUUUGUAUUAUCAUCAAAUACAACUUACAUUUCAAUAUUAUGAAUGAACACGAAUGCGGCCACUUUCAUUUUAGACGGAAACCGUCUAAAAAAUAACCAAAUGCUAAAAUUUUGAAGAUUUCAGUAAUUUAGCAUGACUUAAUGAUGCUAGAACGCGAUAAUUGUGCAUUGAAUUGUCAAAAACAGCUCAUAUUUAUGUAGCAGAAGCAUUUUACUUUCCAAAAUAUAGCUUAAAGAUUACAUUUUCACAAUUUUCUAAAACUGCUAUAUUUUGGGGCCAAAAAGGGGUCUUACUGAACCUACUACUUUAAUAAAUUUCAGAAUAUGAUAUUUAAAAAAAUUGUUAUUAUGGUGCAACUCUGCUAAAGAGAAAGAAGUUCAUCAAUUAAAAUAAUCUCAUAACAUAUUGAAAAAAAACUGCUGAAUCUAUUGUUUUUUAGACAUUCCAUCUUGCACUGGUGUGAAGUCAGAAAGAUUAUGAAUGGGCAAACAUAAGACACUCCUAUCUGUAACAAUUAUGGUCCAAUAUAAUUACUAGAUGAGGUAGUUAAACAAAGAUUAAGCCAACACCACUUCUUCAUCAGUAAUGUUAAUACUAUAAUAAUAUCUCUUAAUAACAACCAACAUAAUAUAUGUAAAAUAAGUAAGAAACAUAAAAAAUUUCACUAUUUUAUGAUUACAUACAAUGCCUUAAAAUAUCCAUAUCUCAACAAUUUUGAUGUUUUCAUUCAAUGUAAGUCUCGCAAAUCCAUUGAUAAAAAAAAAAAUAAUAUAUACGUUUAUUUUAGAUUUAUUGAUUGACCUUUAUGGAUUAUUGAUGAUUGUUGGCCAACAGAGGUGAUGUUUGUAUAGAAAAUUAAUGGGAAUGGAAAUUUAACAUUUAAUAUCCCUUGGUUAGGGGAAAUAAACUACACAAAUAGAAGACAUCUUAUGGGAAAAAGGGGAAUAUAUAAAAGUAGAAAUACUCUUAAAAUCAUUACAAGAAAGAGUAUCAUAACAGGAUUUCUAAUAACAGGGAAUUAAUAAUCAAAGAGCUGAAUAGCUCUGAGGGGAAAGACGGCCCUUGUUUCUAUUUCAUUUUGGGGGGGGGGGGGGGUAUCUUUUGAUAGUCUUCAUAUAAAGAAUGAAAAAAAAAGAACAGCUAGAACAUGUGGAAGGUUGACACUAUUGGAAUCAAUUGUUGUUUUAUGUUAUUUCGUUUCUUUAGUUUAGGAUUCAAUUUAGACCAAUGGAAGAGAUCUGCAUCUUCUAAAACUAAACAUUCAAUUAAAGUUGAUAGUUUAA
rnacentral:lncRNA from 1 species